GACGAACGCUGGCGGCGUGCCUAACACAUGCAAGUCGAGCGGUAAGGCCCCAGCUUGCUGGGGUACACGAGUGGCGAACGGGUGAGUAACACGGGGGUGACCUGCCUCGCACUUCGGGAUGAGCCGGGGCAACUGGGUCUAAUACCGGAGACGUCCGCACCGUGAGGGGGUGGUGGAAAGUUUUACGGUGUGGGAUGGGCCCGGGGCCGAUCAGCUUGUUGGUGGGGUAAUGGCCUACCAAGGCGGCGAUCGGUAGCCGGCCUGAGAGGGUGGACGGCCACAAGAGGACUACGGGACGGCGCAGUCGCGUACGGGAGGCAGCGGUGGGGAAUCUGACACAGUGAGGCGGAGCGUGAUGAGACGACGCCGCGUGGGUAAUGACGUCCUUCGGGUUAUAAACUCCUUUCACCAUAGACGAAGGUUUUCUGACGGUAGCUGGAGAAGAAGCACCGGCUAACUACGUG
rnacentral:rRNA from 1 species